rnacentral:rRNA from 1 species
UUGAACGCUUGCGGCAGGCCUAACACAUGCAAGUCGAGCGGAUGAAGGGAGCUUGCUCCUGGAUUCAGCGGCGGACGGGUGAGUAAUGCCUAGGAAUCUGCCUGGGAGUGGGGGAUAACGUCCGGAAACGGGCGCUAAUACCGCAUACGUCCUGAGGGAGAAAGUGGGGGAUCUUCGGACCUCACGCUAUCAGAUGAGCCUAGGUCGGAUUAGCUAGUUGGUGGGGUAAAGGCCUACCAAGGCGACGAUCCGUAACUGGUCUGAGAGGAUGAUCAGUCACACUGGAACUGAGACACGGUCCAGACUCCUACGGGAGGCAGCAGUGGGGAAUAUUGGACAAUGGGCGAAAGCCUGAUCCAGCCAUGCCGCGUGUGUGAAGAAGGUCUUCGGAUUGUAAAGCACUUUAAGUUGGGAGGAAGGGCAGUAAGUUAAUACCUUGCUGUUUUGACGUUACCAACAGAAUAAGCACCGGCUAACUUCGUG